UACGAAGGGGGCUAGCGUUGCUCGGAAUCACUGGGCGUAAAGGGUGCGUAGGCGGGUCUUUAAGUCAGGGGUGAAAUCCUGGAGCUCAACUCCAGAACUGCCUUUGAUACUGAGGAUCUUGAGUUCGGGAGAGGUGAGUGGAACUGCGAGUGUAGAGGUGAAAUUCGUAGAUAUUAGGAAGAACACCAGUGGCGAAGGCGGCUCACUGGCCCGGAACUGACGCUGAUGUGCGAAAGCGUGGGGAGCAAACAGG
rnacentral:rRNA from 1 species